CCGCCGCCGCCGCCGCCGCCGCCGCCGCCAGCAGAGCGCACCGGGCUGGCCGGGCGAGUGGCUAUGGCGGGCGCCGAAGACGGGCCGGGCCAGCAGCCGGAGGUCGACGAGGACGAGGCGGCGUAUAGCCGGCGCUGGGGCGCGCAGCAUGCCGGGGCCCGCGAGCUGGCCGCGCUCUACUCACCAGGCAAGCGCUUCCAGGAGUGGUGCUGUGUGGUGCUGUGCUUCAGCCUCAUCGCCCACAACACGGUCCACCUCCUGCUGCUGGCUCACUGGGAGCACACACCUCUUGUAAUGCUGGGAGUCGUUGCAGGGGCUCUCAUUGCUGACUUCUUGUCUGGCGUGGUGCACUGGGGAGCCGACACCUGGGGCUCCGUGGAGCUGCCCAUCGUGGGGAAGGCUUUCAUCCGGCCAUUCCGGGAGCAUCACAUUGACCCGACAGCCAUUACGCGGCACGACUUCAUCGAGACCAAUGGGGACAACUGCCUGGUGACGCUGCUACCGCUGUUAAACAUGGCCUACAAGUUCCGCACCCAGAGCCCAGAAGUCCUGGAGCAGCUGUACCCCUGGGAGUGCUUCGUCUUCUGCCUGAUCAUCUUCGGUACCUUCACCAACCAGAUCCACAAGUGGUCACACACGUACUUUGGGCUGCCGCGCUGGGUCGUCCUCCUGCAGGACUGGCAUGUCAUCCUGCCUCGUAAACACCAUCGCAUCCACCACGUCUCACCCCACGAGACCUACUUCUGCAUCACCACAGGAGUAAAAGUCCCUCGCAAUUUCCGACUGUUGGAAGAACUCGAAGAAGGCCAGAAAGGAGUAGGAGAUGGCACAGUUAGCUGGGGUCUAGAAGAUGACGAAGACAUGACACUUACAAGAUGGACAGGGAUGAUAAUUGGGCCUCCAAGAACAAUUUAUGAAAACCGAAUAUACAGCCUUAAAAUAGAAUGUGGACCUAAAUACCCAGAAGCACCCCCCUUUGUAAGAUUUGUAACAAAAAUUAAUAUGAAUGGAGUUAAUAGUUCUAAUGGAGUGGUGGACCCAAGAGCCAUAUCAGUGCUAGCAAAAUGGCAGAAUUCAUAUAGCAUCAAAGUUGUCCUGCAAGAGCUUCGGCGCCUAAUGAUGUCUAAAGAAAAUAUGAAACUCCCUCAGCCUCCUGAAGGACAGUGUUACAGCAAUUAAUCAAAAAGAAAAACCACAGGCCCUCCCCUACCCCCCAUUCGAUUUAAGCAGUCUUCAUUUUCCACAGUAGUAAAUUUUCUAGAUACGUCUUGUAGACCUCAAAGUACUGGAAAGGAAGCUCCCAUUCAAAGGCAGUUUAUCUUAAGAUACUGUAAAUGAUACUAAUUUUUUGUCCAUUUGAAAUAUAUAAGUUGUGCUAUAACAAAUCAUCCUGUCAAGUGUAACCACUGUCCACAUAGUUGAACUUCUGGGAUCAAGAAAGUAUAUUUAAAUUGAUUCCCAUCAUAACCGGUGGGGCACAUCUAACUCAACUGUGAAAAGACACACCACGCAAUCACCUUGCUGCUGAUUACAUGGCCUGGGGUCUCUGCCUUCUCCCCUUCCCCUCCCCCUGCCUCCUCCCUCCCUGCAACAGCCCUCCAGCUUGGGGUGGCUUCUUAGAGUAGAUGUAAGGGUUUCAGGUCACAGCCUGUGGGACUCCUGCUGGGUGUGGGGGAUGCUUCGUCUGCACCCCUGGUUUCUUUCUUUAAGUCUUAAAUGCUGACCCCCUUCCAAGCCACCAUCCUCUUCCCACUCUCCAUUACCACCCUUGGCCGAAGCAUAGAUUGUAACCCCCUCGGCUCCCCUCUGAAAUUGGCCUUUGGUGAGGAAUUCAGGGCUUUCCCCAUAUCUUCUCCCUCCACCUUAAUCGAGGGGUGCUGCUUUGUCCUUCCUCCUCCUCAAGUCCCUUUUUGCACCAUCACCACCCAACACUUUCCAUGACACUUCCUUGCUUUGGCCAGAAGCCAUCAGGUAAGGUUGGAAAGCAUAUCUGACCUCCCUCAUUUAGUUUUGGAACCACACUUACUUACUCUCCACCAGCCUGGGGAAUGAAUAUUGGGUUCUCAGCCCUGCCACCCUCUGCUGUCAUCAUCAGCUGAUACGUUUACUUAGCUCAGGUUUUGAUAAGGUGAACAGAACAGUCACCAGGGUCACAGACCUGCCAGCUCUCAAAGUCCUUGGUGGUUAAACUUGGAGAAAGGCCACAGAAGACACUUGUAAGCACACACGAUCCCUCUGAAUGAAUUUUCUUUUCCUGUAAUUGCUUUAGCUUUUAAAAAUUGAAGAAGUUUUAAACAGGGCUCUCAUUUGGUCAUCCUUGCAAUCCAUUUGAGUCUAGUUUGGAAUCUGACAACUGGAACAAAAAGAACCAUGAACUCAGUGCACACUUUGGUUUCGGUGCUGCUGCUUCUCUCGGUCCUCAGCAGGGAUAAGAAAGAACUCGGUGUGCACGGCAGAUCCCCGGAAUUCCUGGCCAAUGGCUGCGUUUUUCCACUUUUCUGUUCAGGACCACUAAAUGCUGAGAUGUUGGACGCAUACCGAAAUAAAAGCAAUUCAUUGUGUUCUAAGGUUUUUUUUUUUUUUUUUAACUUAGUGUUUGUGUAAAGCCACCUUUUGAAGCAGCAGCUAUCAAGUCUGAAAAGCAAUUGAUGUUUCCAUUCAUCUUUUUCUGGGGAAAACCUUAGCUCUAAGGAUUUAACAUCCUGGGACACGGGUUCGAGCCCUGGUCUGGGAAGAUCCCACAUGCCGCGGAGCAACUAGGCCCGUGAGCCACAACUACUGAGCCUGCACGUCUGGAGUUUGUGCUCCGCAACAAGAGAGGCCGCGACAGUGAGAGGCCUGCGCACCGCGAUGAAGAGUGACCCCCACUCGCCGCAACUAGAGAAAGCCCUUGCAUGGAAAUGAAGACCCAACACAGCCAAAAAUAAGUAAAUUAAUUAAUUAAUUUUUAAAAAAUUAUAAGUAGCUUUGUGGGACCCUAGCUGCUAAGUCUCCACUAGUACCUACUUAUUGGCUGGAGGUAGUUGUCUUCUGGUUGGAAAAGAAAAUAGAAUUUUCCCAUGUGUUUCUAGUGUUUGAAACAAGAGUUUUGAUCUGAUUGACAGUCUGUCUACCCUCUCCUGUGUGAGGAGUGGGAACAUGUCGCAGCUGUUUUUACUUAGGAUUUGCACUUCUGCUGUGGUCCCAGCCACCAGUAGGCACCACCUUGGUGUCCUGUGCCAGGAGCCGGGUCAUCCCUUGUGGCCGUUGGGGCCGGACCUGACUUCAUGGAGGGCAUCGGGUUGUUCCUAACACGCCACCCUCCAGAAGGUGCUGCCAGAAUUUCUGCCACAUGGUCCUUACGAAUCUGUCCUCUGGAGCGAGUCGCUGCCUUUCAGGCUCCCCUGAAAGGGGAUCGGGCCGGAGACAUUUGUGGGCUCUUCACCCUCAGUCAGUUCUCUCAAGGGAGAAAGAAGACGGGAGAUUCUAGAAUUAUUUCAAAGUUCUACUGGAAAGCCCCAAAGCAGAGUCAGGGCGGCAACUCUUCUGUGCAGUGACUUCCAGAGAGGAAACAAGUCCCAUCUGAAAUCCGAGACUCUGCACCUGUUACCCUCUUAGCGGGCUACAGGGAACUGGGCCUAGAGCUUCAGGAACUCAACCAGAACCUUCUGUGACAACCGUUUGAACCUUUGGUGUGUGGUUAUGUCCCACACAUAUGUCGUGUGAUUUGCUCCUUAUCUUUGCUGGUGCGUUCACAGGUGGUCUUAAGUUUAUAGCCUAAACUUAGGACAGAGAAGAAGCGCUCGUCUGAGGUGCAGAGAGAGCACUUCUUUCGCCAGGUGGCCUCCGAUCCCCAGCUCCUGCCAGGUCUUUGCUCUUGAGAGAAAAUACUUCCACUGUUCCUUUUCACUGUGCAGAACUGCACGGAGCGGAGAGGUCUUCACAGUGACCUGACAAUGCUGGGGGGAAGCACACCCCUUCUGAUUGACCUACAGCAAACCAGCAAGGGGUCUCCACUGCCACGUGACCUCUGACCACGACCUUGUGGUGAGGGCAGUGCCCUUGAGCUGCUUCUCUGCUGAGAAAGUUCUUAGGCCCUUCGAGUGGAGGUGCCACCGCUGCCUCCGGUUGUGAUGUAGCAACGUGGAUUGUGUUGAGUCAACGGCAUGGGCCCUGCGGAGUGUCUGCUCCUCUGUCUGGCUACCAGCCAGUCCCUGCCUGUCCUCUUGCCCUUCCCCCCCAUGGCAAGUGGACACUCAGUCACGUUCCCUUUCCUUGCCUUUGCCUGAUCCACAGAACCCCGUGAAGGACUUGGGACAUGGUGUCAAGGACUUCAGCAGAGGAGAACAUUCUAAGGAAGGGCAGCAUGUGAAAGCAUCUCUUCUUUCCACGUGAGAAAUGAGAUACUGGGGUGGGCUCUGUGGGCAGCACAUGGCUCUGAGCUAUAGGGGUGACACCUGGGCGUACCUCAAAGGCUUUCUCAUGGCGAUUACAUAAAGUUGGCUGCUGUGUUUUAGAGCUGUUGGCACGUUGGCUGCAGGUGGCCUUGGAAGAGGGGACGUCUUUGCACUUAGUGCCAGCCUCGCUGCUGCUGCCUGGCACCGUGAACAGGAAGGCACUGUCCAUAUCUUUGGGGUUCCGGCACAUGUCUGAUGAAGGUGCUCCUCGGUGCUGGGGAUGU